rnacentral:lncRNA from 1 species
CAGUUAUAUUUCCUUGGUGAUUAAUACGUACAUUGUAGGAGCAAAAGAAUAAAGCCAGUCCAAUGAAAGUGCAUGUGACUUGAGCUCAGAACCGAAAUGGCACUGACUGUGAAGAAAAUAGGGAAUGAUAGUGGUGGUUGGUUUGGAGGGUACUUUGCGGAGAGCCCGGAUAUGACAGUGUUGACGGUAACCCUAGCUGAAGUGAGCAGCUGCUUCUGCACCGUGCUCGUGUUAUUAUUGAUCUGGCAAAACAAAUGCGUGUAAUGCGGGAGAGCUGCUAACCUGACCCAG